AUGGUACUUGGCGCUGAUGUCUAUCUGGAGUUUGGAAAACAAUUUGCCAUACUUCGCCGAGAAGGGUGCAUGAGAGGGAUGAUUUUGCUUCAGUCCUUUAUAUUUGAUGCACUCUAAUACUUCUGGUGUUUUUCCCAGCAACUGCACAGCAAGAUCCAAUGGUGUCUUUUUUCCACUAGAUGGUUCUGAAAGAUAAAAGGACAUAUGUAGUGACUAGUGUCGGUGUAUUGGUGUGACAUCAAGAAUGCAGAACUUUUAGUAAGACGGGGAUAAUAUUAGAAUAAUUAAUGGUAUGAAUUAAAUGGUUUACAUGGUUUUUUCAUCAGUCAAUUCUUCAACCUUUACAUCGUGAAGUUGAACGGUAAUUUGACAGUGGAGGACCCUCCAAUCUGAAGUUUGGUUCAUCAAUGCUGUCAUGAAAAACAACAUUUUCACCAUCAUAAUGCCGCCAGAUUUGAUCACCAGGGAUAAUGAAAUCUGCGAUUCUUGCUAAAUGAGAUUGCACAACUGAUGAUUUUCCAGAUAACAGUUUCUUUGUGAAGAUGGUAUUUUUCCUGUGUGGUAGACGCUUAGCUUGGCGACUGAUGGUUGAGUCUUGCUUUGCAAAUGAGUCACUUCUGUCAUCACUAUUCUGUUGAGCAUUAUAUCGAAUGAUUGUAUUAUCUAUAAUCCAACCUGGUUUCCUAUUUGUUGUAGUUUCAGCAAUUCUCCGUAAGCUUCCAAAUGAUCUUUCUUCUUGUUCACAUAAAAUUGAUUUUGUAUUUACAAUCCUGUAUACUUCUGGUAGAUGUACAACUAAACUGUGGAAAUGGCAACCAUACAGUUUUCUGGUGGUUAUUUUCACUGGUGUUCCUAUAACAGAUUUUGUUAAUACUCCAAAUAAAAAAGUAAGGUUAUACAACCGUAGUAUCUGCCGUGGUGAUCUUUUCUCCUCUGAGCUGUAUGCAAUGUUGAUAAUUUCAACUAGUACUUGAAUCAAGUCAACUGUAUCUUCAGAGAUUUUAUCAUGCUGUUGUUCAUUUAAUACAUAUUGUGCUAGUUGUAUAACAAAAUGCCUAGCGUCAGAACCCUUAAUUUGAUUCUUAUCACCAAUGGUUUUUGAACAAAAAAUUUCUAAUUCGGCUUUUGUUUCUUUGUUUUCAACAUGGUGGGGUA